rnacentral:rRNA from 1 species
UACGAAGGGGGCUAGCGUUGCUCGGAUUGACUGGGCGUAAAGGGCGCGUAGGCGGUUCGUACAGUCAGACGUGAAAUUCCUGGGCUCAACCUGGGGGCUGCGUUUGAUACGUGCGGGCUUGAGUGCGGAAGAGGGUCGUGGAAUUCCCAGUGUAGAGGUGAAAAUUCGUAGAUAUUGGGAAGAACACCGGUGGCGAAGGCGGCGACCUGGUCCGAUACUGACGCUGAGGCGCGAAAGCGUGGGGAGCAAACAGG